rnacentral:rRNA from 1 species
CUGGCAUGAAACAUUUGGCCGGCCACGGUUUCGUGUGUUAGUGCUUUGUGUUCUGGCCAUCCUUUCAAUCGCAAUUGGCUAUUCUUCAUUGAUUGGUCAGUUGUAUUGGAUCUUUUACUUUGAAAAAAUUAGAGUGUUUCAAGCAGGCUUUAUGCUAUGAAUACAUUAGCAUGGAAUAAUAAUUUAGGACUUCGGUUCUAUUUUGUUGGUUUCUAGGACUGAAGUAAUGAUUGAUAGGGAUAGUUGGGGGUGCUAGUAUUCAGCGGCCAGAGGUGAAAUUCUCGGAUUCGCUGAAGACUAACUUAUGCGAAAGCAUUC